rnacentral:tRNA from 1 species
GAGGGUAGAGCUCAGUGGUAGAGUGCAUGCUUCGCAGGCAUAAGUUCAUGGUUUCAAUCCCCAGUACCUUCA